rnacentral:rRNA from 1 species
AGGCAGCAGUUAGGAAUCUUCCACAAUGGGCGCAAGCCUGACGGAGCGACGCCGCUUGGAGGAAGAAGCCCUUCGGGGUGUAAACUCCUGAACCCGGGACGAAACCCCCGACGAGGGGACUGACGGUACCGGGGUAAUAGCGCCGGCCAACUCCGUGCCAGCAGCCGCGGUAAUACGGAGGGCGCGAGCGUUACCCGGAUUCACUGGGCGUAAAGGGCGUGUAGGCGGUCUGGGGCGUCCCAUGUGAAAGACCACGGCUCAACCGUGGAGGAGCGUGGGAUACGCUCAGGCUAGAGGGUGGGAGAGGGUGGUGGAAUUCCCGGAGUAGCGGUGAAAUGCGCAGAUACCGGGAGGAACGCCGAUGGCGAAGGCAGCCACCUGGUCCACUUCUGACGCUGAGGCGCGAAAGCGUGGGGAGCAAACCGGAUUAGAUACCCUAGUAGUCC